rnacentral:rRNA from 1 species
CCGGCCUGAGAGGGUGACCGGCCACACUGGGACUGAGACACGGCCCAGACUCCUACGGGAGGCAGCAGUGGGGAAUAUUGCACAAUGGGCGCAAGCCUGAUGCAGCAACGCCGCGUGAGGGAUGACGGCCUUCGGGUUGUAAACCUCUUUUAGCAGGGAAGAAGCGAAAGUGACGGUACCUGCAGAAAAAGCGCCGGCUAACUACGUGCCAGCAGCCGCGGUAAUACGUAGGGCGCAAGCGUUAUCCGGAAUUAUUGGGCGUAAAGAGCUCGUAGGCGGUUUGUCGCGUCUGCUGUGAAAUCCGGAGGCUCAACCUCCGGCCUGCAGUGGGUACGGGCAGACUAGAGUGCGGUAGGGGAGAUUGGAAUUCCUGGUGUAGCGGUGGAAUGCGCAGAUAUCAGGAGGAACACCGAUGGCGAAGGCAGAUCUCUGGGCCGUAACUGACGCUGAGGAGCGAAAGGGUGGGGAGCAAACAGGCUUAGAUACCCUGGUAGUCCACCCCGUAAACGUUGGGAACUAGUUGUGGGGUCCAUUCCACGGAUUCCGUGACGCAGCUAACGCAUUAAGUUCCCCGCCUGGGGAGUACGGCCGCAAGGCUAAAACUCAAAGGAAUUGACGGGGACCCGCACAAGCGGCGGAGCAUGCGGAUUAAUUCGAUGCAACGCGAAGAACCUUACCAAGGCUUGACAUAUACGAGAACGGGCCAGAAAUGGUCAACUCUUUGGACACUCGUAAACAGGUGGUGCAUGGUUGUCGUCAGCUCGUGUCGUGAGAUGUUGGGUUAAGUCCCGCAACGAGCGCAACCCUCGUUCUAUGUUGCCAGCACGUAAUGGUGGGAACUCAUGGGAUACUGCCGGGGUCAACUCGGAGGAAGGUGGGGAUGACGUCAAAUCAUCAUGCCCCUUAUGUCUUGGGCUUCACGCAUGCUACAAUGGCCGGUACAAAGGGCUGCAAUACCGCGAGGUGGAGCGAAUCCCAAAAAGCCGGUCCCAGUUCGGAUUGAGGUCUGCAACUCGACCUCAUGAAGUCGGAGUCGCUAGUAAUCGCAGAUCAGCAACGCUGCGGUGAAUACGUUCCCGGGUCUUGUACACACCGCCCGUCAAGUCAUGAAAGUCGGUAACACCUGAAGCCGGUGGCCUAACCCUUGUGGAGGGAGC